UCGAGGGUCCAAUUAAGGGAUGUUUUGAAUUAUCUCUAUAAAUGAUUAGUAGAUUAUAAGAAUUAUCUGCAAAAUGUUCUAAAAGUUUUGAUAAUGCUCCGAAACCUUGUUCCAAGAGUGGAUAUGGGUUAGGGAUGUUACACUUUAUGGUAAGAAGUUUAGGACUCCAUUAUGUUGGUCUAACAUGGAAGAGAAGAGGAAUUUGGG
rnacentral:lncRNA from 1 species